AGUUAUUAAAUCUCACAUUUCAAAAAAAUCAUAAGUCAUUUUCAAAUAAGAACAAUAAAAUAUUAUUUUUUGGCUCACAGGGGCAUUUUCGUAAUUUUUCAUCAAAAAUCUCAAAACUUGCUAAAAAUGUAGUAGGUAAGCAGAAUAUAUAUAUUUAAUGAUUUAAAAACAAAUUAAGUAUCUAAAACGUUCAUUUGAAAGCAAAUUGUUGACAACUAGUACUAUUCAAAAAUAAUAAAUAAAAUAUUCUAUUUUCUCAUAAAAUAAAUUUUUAUAGAAAUAUUCGUAAAUAAUUUUUCGCACAUGAAAGUAAAGUAAAAAUUGUAUGAAUAGAAAUACAGAUAACCAAAAUAUAAGUUUUGAUCUGCAAUGACACGUGGGCUCCAAUUGACCAAGAGGAUGUAAGACUGUGAACUCUUACUUUCUAUAAUGCAGUUUCGAGCUUAGUUCUCGUCCUACUCGACUAUCUACAAACUGUCCUGAGCCUGAAAAAUGUAUAGGAAGAAGGGGUGAGAUUUUAUAAUCCCAGUGAGUAAAC
rnacentral:lncRNA from 1 species